ACUCUCUCUGUGACUAACAACUAAAAUAUGGCAGUUUAAAAGAAGUUUCAGUGGUGCUCCAGUUCCAUAGGGUUGUGGAACGAGAGAGAUGGACAGGUAGAGUUGUCAUUUCUUCCAGGUCUCUGCAUAUCACUUUCUUUCGUUCUUUCUUUUAUUUCACUGGAAAGGUGACGCUGUGAAAUAUUAAACAGCCGAGUGUCCCUCUGUGGUGUCGGGUUUCCCACAGCUGAUGAGAAUUCAGGUACUUUCUCCAAGAUGGAGAAUUAGGGUUUUAUGAAGAAGAUGAGCAGGGAUGAGUCAAAGCAGCAUUUCUGAAAGCUGGAACUGGAUCAAAAAUCUUUUUUAACACAUUUUAAUACAUUAUCACAACAAUUAUGAUAGGGGGACAUUUGUAUUUGAACUAAUGUUAGUAUAUAAGACAUAUAAGUCCUUAAAAAAUUCUUAUUUGGACUAAAGCUUUAGUUUGCCUAUUAAAAAUGUCUCGAUUAAAUCUUAUUUAAAAGACAGAUUUAUCCAGUUGUAUUGACUGUUGAUUAUAAUUUGAUUCUAAGUAAUAUCAGUUUGUUGAGACUCUCAAGAGGUUUGUUUUAUGUCGUCACGAAAGGCAUGCUUAUUUGACAUUGGUGGACCCGUUUAGAAAACGUUUAGACUGGUUGGUACAGAGCGAAUUCUUCACUGAAAGACACUAACGUUCCUCGGUCACAUAAGUAGGGGAGUUUCCUGCUCCUAAAGAUCGAGGCGUUUUUCACCACGACUGCCGGCUUUUCUCUCUCUCUCCCUUCCUCUCUUUCGCUCCCUUCUUUUUUUCUGAAUGGGUGUCCUCUCUCUAACCUCUCAAUUCACAGCAGCAUUGAAACAGGACACUACCCUGAACACUGAUAGGCUGCGGCUAAAUCGCUCAGCCCCUCAACCCGACACUAUAAGUACUCUGGCAGUCCGUCUCCAGUGUAUGACUGACUGUUUAGAGGGAGAGAGGGAGAGAUAGAAUGGGAGGGGGUGGUAGAGAGUUUAAAUUCAGUGACAGUGAUAACAAUGAUAUUAUUCGUUCUUCGCUGAAACGGGGAAGCACUUUCAGCGUCUACGGCACGCUUCCUCUGUCUCUAUCGCUUUAAGAGUGUUACUGAUUAGUCACUAAAGAAUGCGAGUGGAAAGAGAGAGAGAAAAGGGACAGAGUCAGAAGGGAGAGACAGACUGAGAGCGUUCGUGCCUGGAACUCGUAUGGAGAAGACUGAUAAUGCUGAGCUGAGUAGAGUUUUGUUUUAUUUUCCAGCAGUUCGGAGACGUUAAUGGAGCUCUCACACUGUGUGUGUGUGUGUGUUUGCGGCUCCUGAAGACGAAGGGGGAAGUCGGGGACCCCGCACAUGCAGGCAGCACUCAGCCAUCAGGAAAUACUCUUUUCACCCAGACAGAGCUUAUUCAGACAGGCUCCAUCUAUUCAGAUCAUGUGAUGCUCCAUGUCUUCAUUUCAAUUUAGGCGCUGGGGACGGCUCAAGUGGACGAGUGCUGCCAGCGGCUUGUUAGGGUGCUCAUGAGGUGCUCAGUAGUCAGUGUAGAUCCUGUGUUGCAAUCAGCAGCUACAUCUGGCUACUGGGUCUCUGAUGGCAUUUUCUGCUUCCUGUUGGCACAUUCCUUUCAGAUUGUGUGGUAUGUUAUCACAAUGUGUGCCUCAUCCUGUCAGAAUAGGACUCGCUCUUUCAUGGACGUUAAAGAGGGCUCUUGUCACAACACCCCUCUUCGACCAGAGCGAUUUGGUAGAGCUUUUGCACUUUUAGCCUAGUUUACUGUGGGCUUUUCCUUUUUUAUUUUCUUAAAUAAAUUUAAUCAAGGUGAGUGAACUGUCAAAGUGGAGCUAAAAGUCUCGGGAACCCAUUUCAGACGUCUUUGAAAGAAAGGAUUGAGACAUUGUUCCUUGUUUGACUGCUGAAGAUUCAGUUUAAGUGAUUAGGUAACAAAGGACAAGGCGACAUGUCACAUUCUCUUUGUGAUUUGCCUGUCACAAGGGGCUGUCUUUGUGCAAAUGUUUUUGAGUUGUUGAAGGCUGACAAAUAAUUAGAGUUAAAUGCGCAGACAUGCUGAAUCGCAUUGGUUUUGGGGAGCGAAGGAUGAAUUCUUUUGUGUUGUCGUGAACCUGGCAUACAAUGUAGAUUUCUGUGUGGUACAAUCUACAGCUACAUUGUCUGCUGGGUUUCAGGCCAGCAGAAAAAUCCUGCUCUGCUCAGAAAUUGAAAAGGUGAGUCGUUAAGAUGUUACGCAUGCUUGAAAAAGACUUAUUCCUACUAUGAGAAUACAAUAAAAGUACUGAAAGUAUAAAAA